rnacentral:misc_RNA from 1 species
CAACCCUCAGGCCCUGGUUGCCUGGUGUUGGGGCGCCGCGCACCCCUAGCGGGCGCGGGCCCCGAAAGUCAGUGGCGGGCUCGCCAGGACUCCGAGCGCAGUAAUCUUUUUCUCGCUCAGGGCGUCCCGGUGGGUUACCCAGCCGUAAAACACCCAAAACUUCUAAA